CUCUCUCUCUCUCUCUCUCUCUCUCUCUCUAUGCAGUGUAGGUGAGGUAAGGCAGGAGAGAGUGAGGGAGAGGGAGGAGAGAGAGAGAGUGAGAGGGGACACUGCGCCUUACACUCAUUCGACACAGAUGAAGAAGUGUUGGUAAGUGGUUUGGAGCUCCAUAGAAGAUUACGCUGCCGGAUUCGUGUCUGUGAAGUUAAUUUUUUCAUUAGUCCUUUUUGCCCUCUUCCGUUCGUGGUGGAGGGUUGGGGGCUGGUGGACGGGUGGAGGAAAGGUGGAGGUAUGUCUGUGUGGAAGGAGGUUAGUGGAGGUAUCUUGUGGAGGGAGAUAUGGAGGAAAGAAGAGGAGGAGAUGGAGGGAAAUAUGAGAAAAAUUGUCAGGUUUUGAGAUGAGACUAUCUUAGAAAACGACUAUUUUGACUAUGAUAGGAGAGUGGUAUGAUAGUCAAACUUGGAGGAUAGGUGGUGGAAAGGUGGAGGUAUGUCUGUGUGGAAGGUGGUUAGUGGAGGUAACUUGUGGAGGAGAUAUGGAGGAAAGAAGAGGAGGAGAUGGAGGAAAUAUGAGAAAAAUUGUCAGGUUUUGAUGUGACUAUCUUAGAAAACUACUAUUUUGACUAUGAUAGGAGGGUGGUAGGAUAGUCAAACUUAGAGGAUAGGUGGAGGAAAGGUGGAGGUAUGUCUGUGUGGAAGGAGGUUAGUGGAGGUAUCUUGUGGAUGGAGAUAUGGAG